UCUCCUCCCAAAGAGUAACGGAGGAGCACGAAGGUGGGCUAAUCACGGUUGGACAUCGUGAGGUUAGUGCAAUGGCAUAAGCCCGCUUAACUGCGAGAAUGACGGUUCGAGCAGGUGCGAAAGCAGGUCAUAGUGAUCCGGUGGUUCUGUAUGGAAGGGCCAUCGCUCAACGGAUAAAAGGUACUCCGGGGAUAACAGGCUGAUACCGCCCAAGAGUUCAUAUCGACGGCGGUGUUUGGCACCUCGAUGUCGGCUCAUCACAUCCUGGGGCUGAAGUCGGUCCCAAGGGUAUGGCUGUUCGCCAUUUAAAGUGGUACGCGAGCUGGGUUUAGAACGUCGUGAGACAGUUCGGUCCCUAUCUGCCGUGGGCGUUGGAAGAUUGAAGGGGGCUGCUCCUAGUACGAGAGGACCGGAGUGGACGAACCUCUGGUGUUCGGGUUGUGUCGCCAGACGCAUUGCCCGGUAGCUAAGUUCGGAAUUGAUAAGCGCUGAAAGCAUCUAAGCGCGAAGCGAGCCCUGAGAUGAGUCUUCCCUGACAGUUUAACUGUCCUAAAGGGUUGUUCGAGACUAGAACGUUGAUAGGCAGGGUGUGUAAGCGUUGUGAGGCGUUGAGCUAACCUGUACUAAUUGCCCGUGAGGCUUAACCAUACAACACCCAAGG
rnacentral:rRNA from 1 species